UACGGGGGGAGCAAGCGUUGUUCGGAUUUACUGGGCGUAAAGAGCGCGCAGGCGGUCGAAUAAGUCGAAUGUGAAAGCCCCCGGCUCAACUGGGGAGGGUCAUUCGAUACUGCUCGACUUGAAGGCAGGAGAGGGUAGUGGAAUUCCCGGUGUAGUGGUGAAAUGCGUAGAUAUCGGGAGGAACACCAGUGGCGAAGGCGACUACCUGGCCUGUUCUUGACGCUGAGGCGCGAAAGCUGGGGGAGCAAACGGGG
rnacentral:rRNA from 1 species